AUGCCUGAAUCUCUUAUUUCAGAGGAAGUCUGCACCCUGGUUAUUACAGAAGCUUUUCCAGAAGACUCUGGAAUAUUUAAAUGUGUUGCUGAAAAUGAAUUUGGGUCUGCAGCAUCCAGUGCACAUCUCUCUGUUUCCCCAGGAGCUAAAGAGCUGGAAAGCUUUGGAGGUGCUGCCCCUAGGCCAGCCGUGCAGGUCACCUUGAAGAAGCCCACCCUCCCCAGGAACAGCCAGGCAGGAGCCAAGGACCGUGGGGCAGCAGCUCUGCCAUCCUACAGCCCAGAGAGCCCCGGGCUGGGCACCCGAGCAGCAGCCACAAGCUUUGGUCAGAAGAACUCCAAGAGCCAAGCUGAAGACUUCCACGGAGUUUAUGAAAAUUCACCUCAGGCUUCGCCUCUGCGCAAUAAAAUCAAGAUCUUGUAAGCAUGGUGCAGACAGGACCUGCAAAGCACUCUGUGGAGGAAAAGCACUGAACCAGUGACCCAUUGGAUAGAAGAAAAACUGCCCCAUGCCAUGGUAGGGACACUCCCCACUCAGGAGAUGGAGAUUCUCCCUUAGUAAUAAAGUAUUCCAUUUUAUAACA
rnacentral:lncRNA from 1 species